CAUUAGAUAGCUUAAAACAAGCAUUGGUCUCUUAAACCAUCCCAUAGUAACUCGUGCCUACUUCUAAUG
rnacentral:tRNA from 1 species